rnacentral:rRNA from 1 species
UACGUAGGGUGCGAGCGUUGUCCGGAAUUACUGGGCGUAAAGAGCUCGUAGGUGGUUUGUCGCGUUGUUCGUGAAAACUCACAACUCAAUUGUGGGCGUGCGGGCGAUACGGGCAGACUGGAGUACUGCAGGGGAGACUGGAAUUCCUGGUGUAGCGGUGGAAUGCGCAGAUAUCAGGAGGAACACCGGUGGCGAAGGCGGGUCUCUGGGCCGUGACUGACGCUGAGGAGCGAAAGCGUGGGUAGCAAACAGG